rnacentral:rRNA from 1 species
CAGGCCUAACACAUGCAAGUCGAACGGCAGCACAGUAAGAGCUUGCUCUUACGGGUGGCGAGUGGCGGACGGGUGAGGAAUACAUCGGAAUCUACUUUUUCGUGGGGGAUAACGUAGGGAAACUUACGCUAAUACCGCAUACGACCUACGGGUGAAAGCAGGGGACCUUCGGGCCUUGCGCGAUUGAAUGAGCCGAUGUCGGAUUAGCUAGUUGGCGGGGUAAAGGCCCACCAAGGCGACGAUCCGUAGCUGGUCUGAGAGGAUGAUCAGCCACACUGGAACUGAGACACGGUCCAGACUCCUACGGGAGGCAGCAGUGGGGAAUAUUGGACAAUGGGCGCAAGCCUGAUCCAGCCAUACCGCGUGGGUGAAGAAGGCCUUCGGGUUGUAAAGCCCUUUUGUUGGGAAAGAAAUCCAGCCGGCUAAUACCUGGUUGGGAUGACGGUACCCAAAGAAUAAGCACCGGCUAACUUCGUGCCAGCAGCCGCGGUAAU